AAAAAAGGCCCCUGUCCAUGCAGCAGUUAGAAAGCUGUACCACCAGAUACGGUUGGUCUUCCUGAGCGCAGCAGCACAGAUUGCAGGCUGGUUAACGGCAGCUUGACAACAGCUUGACAACCAAAGAUGUCGUUGGGCUUUGGUGUGAGAGUGCUUGUUCUCUCCCUUUUGGCUUUUGGGCACGAUGCAAAUGCACUGCGUGACAAAAGUGAAGGCAUCAGUGGCAUUGGGCCUCUCUUUUCUUAUCCCAGAAGACGGAGCCCUGCUUUUGUGUCUCAAUAUGAGAGCUCUGCACAGCCUGGAGGAUUUCUGGGUACCCAGAGUGGAAAUGGGCCAGUAGAUGGUUACAGUCGAGAUGGAAGUGUUUCUAGUUACGUCCCUAGCUCACAGAUCCUUAGGAAAUCUCCAAAGAACUCUCAGCAGCCACCUCAAACUAACACUUAUGGUAAUGGUGUAUUGUGGACCAACAGUGGCAACUUGGAUUUGGUCCCUCAACAAAAAGGAUAUAGCAUUGAGUCUGGUAUUGCCUCAAGUAGUGCAAUUAUUAUGCAAUCUGAUCCUCAACCCAGUGCGUUCAAUCUGGGCUACCCACAAAAUUGGCUGAGGACCCAGGAGUCGCCCCCUUUCAAAAUUGGUUUCCCAACAAAAGCAGUUCAUGAGCAGAGCACCUCCGAUACUGUCUACCCCCAGGAGCUUCCCACAUCGACUAUGAUCUACCCACAGGAGCAGCCCACCUCAAAUCUUGUCUACCCUCAGAAGCCCCCCAGGCCCCAGGAGCUGCCCACUUCCAAUACUGGCUACCCUCAGGAGUUUCCCACAUCAAAUCUUGUCUACCCUCAGAAGCCACCCAGGCCCCGGGCACUGCCCGCCUCUAAUACUGGCUACCCUCAGAAGCCCCCCAUGCCCCAGGAGCUGCCGACUUCCAAUACUGGCUACCCUCAGAAGCCUCCCAGGCCCCAGGGGCUGCCCACUUCCAAUACUGGCUACCCUCAGGAGCUUCCCACAUCAAAUCUUGUCUACCCUCAGAAGCCACCCAGGCCCCGGGCACUGCCUGCCUCUAAUACUGGCUACCCUCAGAAGCCCCCCAUGCCCCAGGAGCUGCCCACUUCCAAUACUGGCUACCCUCAGAAGCCCCCCAUGCCCCAGGAGCUGCCAACGUCCAAUACUGGCUACCCUCAGAAGCCCCCCAGGCCCCAGGGGCUGCCCACUUCCAAUACUGGCUACCCUCAGAAGCCCCCCAUGCCCCAGGAGCUGCCAACUUCCAAUACUGGCUACCCUCAGGAGCUUCCCACAUCAAAUCUUGUCUACCCUCAGAAGCCCCCCAUGCCCCAGGAGCUGCCCACUUCCAAUACUGGCUACCCUCAGAAGCCCCCCAUGCCCCAGGAGCUGCCAACUUCCAAUACUGGCUGCCGUCGAAUGCCCCCCAGACCCCAGGGGCCACCCACCUUCAAUACUGGCUACCUUCAAACGGCGCCGAGGCCCCAGGAGCUGCCCACCUUCAAUACUGGCUACCUUCAAAAACCGCUGAUGCCCCAGCAGUUGACUACUCUCAGUUCUGUCUACCAACCACAUAAACUCAACCCCCAGAAAGGGGUGUUUCAAACUAAAGCUGGCAUGUGGGACUUGGUUUCAGGUUCUAUUUUGCCACCACCUAGGCCCCAAAAGCUUCCCACUUCCAAUACUGGCAACCUUCAAAAACCGCCGAGGCCCCAGCAGUCGAACAGUAUACCAGGUAGCGGCAUCCACUAGUGCCGUUGUAAAACAUUGACCUCGUCGUUCGCCGCAGUUCCUGACUUUCUGAAAGCAGUCUGUCCUGACAUCUGCCUUUUGUCAAAUUCAAUAAAGUACUUUGAACUGCACUGUCUACCAACAAUUGUCAUUUGAUGCAUGCAAAAAUAUGGAAACAUUUUGAAACUAAUAAAUAGAAUCUAAUGUACAGCUAUGAUUGUGUUCAAUGUAACCGGCUGAAAGUAAUGCAAUACUUGAUAGCACCACAACUGGUAUUGACUGAGAGACAUCCAAAAUUCAAGUUUUGUUCAACUCUCCAGGAGACCAAUCCCAGGGGUUUAGACAC
ensembl:lncRNA